rnacentral:rRNA from 1 species
AGUGAACGCUGGCGGUAGGCCUAACACAUGCAAGUCGAACGGCAGCACAGUAAGAGCUUGCUCUUACGGGUGGCGAGUGGCGGACGGGUGAGGAAUACAUCGGAAUCUACUUUUUCGUGGGGGAUAACGUAGGGAAACUUACGCUAAUACCGCAUACGACCUACGGGUGAAAGCAGGGGAUCUUCGGACCUUGCGCGAUUGAAUGAGCCGAUGUCGGAUUAGCUAGUUGGCGGGGUAAAGGCCCACCAAGGCGACGAUCCGUAGCUGGUCUGAGAGGAUGAGCGGCACAAUGGGACCGAAGACAGGGUCCGGACUCGUACGGGAGGCAGCAGUGGGAAAUUUUGAACAAUGGGGGAAAGCCUGUCCCAGCCAAACCGCGUGGGGAAGGAAGCCCUUGGGUUUGAAAACCCCUUUUGUUGGAAAGAAAAGCAGCAGGUUAAUACCCCGCUGUUCUGACGGUACCCAAAGAAUAAGCACCGGCUAACUUCGUG